GAUGAAGAACGCAGCGAAAUGCGAUACGUAAUGUGAAUUGCAGAAUUCAGUGAAUCAUCGAGUCUUUGAACGCACAUUGCGCCCCCUGGUAUUCCGGGGGGCAUGCCUGUCCGAGCGUCAUUGCUGCCCUCAAGCACGGCUUGUGUGUUGGGCCCCGUCCUCCGAUCCCGGGGGACGGGCCCGAAAGGCAGCGGCGGCACCGCGUCCGGUCCUCGAGCGUAUGGGGCUUUGUCACCCGCUCUGUAGGCCCGGCCGGCGCUUGCCGAUCAACCCAAAUUUUUAUCCAGGUUGACCUCGGAUCAGGUAGGGAUACCCGCUGAACUUAAGCAUAUCAAUAAGCGGAGGA
rnacentral:misc_RNA from 1 species